CGUGCUAUACAUGCAGUCGACGAACUCUGGUAUUGAUUGGUGCUUGCAUCAUGAUUUACAUUUGAGUGAGUGGCGAACUGGUGAGUAACACGUGGGAAACCUGCCCAGAAGCGGGGGAUAACACCUGGAAACAGAUGCUAAUACCGCAUAACAACUUGGACCGCAUGGUCCGAGCUUGAAAGAUGGCUUCGGCUAUCACUUUUGGAUGGUCCCGCGGCGUAUUAGCUAGAUGGUGGGGUAACGGCUCACCAUGGCAAUGAUACGUAGCCGACCUGAGAGGGUAAUCGGCCACAUUGGGACUGAGACACGGCCCAAACUCCUACGGGAGGCAGCAGUAGGGAAUCUUCCACAAUGGACGAAAGUCUGAUGGAGCAACGCCGCGUGAGUGAAGAAGGGUUUCGGCUCGUAAAACUCUGUUGUUAAAGAAGAACAUAUCUGAGAGUAACUGUUCAGGUAUUGACGGUAUUUAACCAGAAAGCCACGGCUAACUACGUGCCAGCAGCCGCGGUAAUACGUAGGUGGCAAGCGUUGUCCGGAUUUAUUGGGCGUAAAGCGAGCGCAGGCGGUUUUUUAAGUCUGAUGUGAAAGCCUUCGGCUCAACCGAAGAAGUGCAUCGGAAACUGGGAAACUUGAGUGCAGAAGAGGACAGUGGAACUCCAUGUGUAGCGGUGAAAUGCGUAGAUAUAUGGAAGAACACCAGUGGCGAAGGCGGCUGUCUGGUCUGUAACUGACGCUGAGGCUCGAAAGUAUGGGUAGCAAACAGGAUUAGAUACCCUGGUAGUCCAUACCGUAAACGAUGAAUGCUAAGUGUUGGAGGGUUUCCGCCCUUCAGUGCUGCAGC
rnacentral:rRNA from 1 species